CAGCCGGAGCAGGAGAAGGUAGAGCAGAGACAGUGUGCUGGGGCUGGGAUUCGGCCAUCUGCUGGAAUUUUCAGGAGUGAGCCACGUUCAAAAGAAAGAGUGUGUGGAGUAGAAGAUAGGAUAUCACACACCACGGAAGAGCAGCGAAAAAAGACCAAGGCAUAUCAGCAGCUGUAUGGAAAUAUUUUCUGGUGACUGGAGGACCCUUUCAGAAGGUCACUUUGAUGUUUUACUCUGGGAUACUUUCACCUCUUGGGAAGCAAGCAUUUACCCUAUUCAGACACCAAGGACGUGGCAUGCUUCUCUGGCUUCAUUCCAGUUUGUCUGUCAUUAUAGCUAAGGACAAAAAAGUUUCACAUAAAGAAGAUCAUUGCGAACAAUGAGUUACUGAAUGGUGAACAAAACAAUGGUUUCAGAGGAAAUACAGCUUAGAUUCCUGCAAGACUCUGGUAUCUUCAUUAGAUGAUGUGAUGGUGAGUCCUAAUUGUCAACUUGACACACUUUAGAAUGACCUGGGAAGACAGUCUUAAGGAGGAAGUGUUAAGAUUGGGUUGGCCUCUGGGCAUUCUGGGGCAGAGAUUAUCUUGAGUGCUGUGAUUGAUGUGGGAAGACCCCACAGCCUGAAAAUGAGUAGUACUGUUGUCUGUUUUGGCGUCCUGACUCUGUAAGAGAAGAGGAAGCUAUCAGAAUGCUAAGCAUGCAUGCAUCUCUCUGUGAUCAGCUGUUUUAAGCUCCUGCUGCCUUGACUUCCCAGCCAUGGUGGACUGUCACCUGGAAUUGGGAGCAAAAAUGAACCCUUUCUCCCCUAAGCUGGCUUUU